UACAGAGGUCCCGAGCGUUGUUCGGAUUCACUGGGCGUAAAGGGUGCGUAGGCGGUCGGGUAAGUCUGAUGUGAAAUCUCUGGGCUCAACCCAGAAAUGGCAUUGGAUACUAUUCGGCUUGAGGUCUGGAGGGGGGACUGGAAUUCUCGGUGUAGCAGUGAAAUGCGUAGAUAUCAAGUGGAACACCAGUGGCGAAGGCGAGUCCCUGGACAACUCCUGACACUGAGGCACGAAGCUAGGGGAGCAAACAGGA
rnacentral:rRNA from 1 species